rnacentral:lncRNA from 1 species
UAAAGUGCAUGCCUAGUUAUCGGAAGAAGUAGAAUCAGGAAGUUUGUUAACUCAAUCCCGCAUGAUGAUUUGUAAUUACAAUAGAUUGGAGUAAGGAUUGGAUCCGACACUGAAGGACUUCAAGAAGUGGCUUAUUUUCAAAUUAAGAAAUAUUGUUUUUAUUAAAAGCUACCUUUGUAAAACUUGGAAUUUAUUCCAUCCAUUUAAAUAAAAUCCGGUGU